UGUUAACCGACGUCACGUCAUGAAGUCGGUAACACCCGAAGCCGGUGGCCCAACCCCUUGUGGGAGGGAGCCGUCGAAGGUGGGAUCGGCGAUUGGGACGAAGUCGUAACAAGGUAGCCGUACCGGAAGGUGCGGCUGGAUCACCUCCUUUCUAAGGAGCACUUCUCCACGGACCCGGUCACAGAGGUGAUUGUGGUUGUGGCAGAGACAGUUUCGGGCUCGUCUGUAGUCCGGCUGGAGCUCAUGGGUGGAACGCUGACAACUUCUCCUGCGUGUGGCCGAGGCCGAGUCCUUGGUUGUGGGUGAUAUAUCGACACACUGUUGGGUCCUGAAAGAACAGGCGUUCUUUCCAGGCAAGAUAACGACGAGGCUGAAUCUUCAGUUCAUACCGGCUUCGACUCUUUCGGGGGUUGGGGUGCUGGUGCUGGUCAGGGUUUGGUUUUGUGUGUUGUUUGAGAACUGCACAGUGGACGCGAGCAUCUUUGUUUGUAAGUGUUUAAGAGCGUUCGGUGGAUGCCUUGGCACCAGGAGCCGAUGAAGGACGUAAGGAGGCUA
rnacentral:misc_RNA from 1 species